rnacentral:tRNA from 1 species
UUCCAGGUAGGUUAAUGGUAAAGCACCCAACCGGCAAUUGGGGAAUCUGGGUUCAAGUCCCGGUCCGGGCU